AACGAACGCUGGCGGCAGGCCUCAUACAUGCAAGUCGAGCGAUUAAGACUCCUUCGGGAGUGUAUAAAGCGGCGAACGGGUGAGUAACAGGUGGAUGAUCUACCUUCCGGUGGGGGAUAACGGCUGGAAACGGCCGCUAAUACCGCAUUCGGUUAAUACGCUGUGGCGUAUUAAAGAAAGGCGCCUCAAAGCGCCGCCGGGAGAUGAGUCCGCCCCCCAUUAGCUAGUUGGUGAGAUAACAGCUCACCAAGGCAACGAUGGGUAGCCGAACUGAGAGGUUGAUCGGCCACACUGGAACUGAGACACGGUCCAGACACCUACGGGUGGCAGCAGUAGGGAAUAUUGGGCAAUGGGCGAAAGCCUGACCCCAGCCAUGCCGCGUGAGUGAUGAAGGUCCUAGAGACUGUAAACUCUUUCUGAGAAGAAUGAAUAGGAAGGAAUGUCUUAUUUGACGGUACCUCAGGAAUAAGGAACGGCUAACUCCGUGCCAGCAGCCGCGGUAAAC
rnacentral:rRNA from 1 species